rnacentral:rRNA from 1 species
CACCGCGGUUAUACGAGAGGCUCAAGUUGAUAGAACACGGCGUAAAGCGUGGUUAAGGAAGAUUAUGAAACUAAAGCCGAACCCCCUCAGAGCUGUUAUACGCUCACGAUGGUUAGAAGCCCAAUUACGAAAGUAGCUUUACACACCCUGAAUCCACGAAAGCUAUGGCA